GGAAGGGUUUUCAAUGUUGGUAGUUGGAGUUGAGCUGUAAACUCAAUGGUUAUAUACCUUCAUAGGUUCGAUUCCUAUCCCUUUCA